UUUUUUUAUAAAAUGUUUACAGUUUGUAAUUGUUAUUAAUUAACGCUAUACCACGAAUCCAUGAGAUAAUUGUUAAAAAACUGAAGUUUUAACUUUUAUUAAAACAGCAUACUAAUAAUAUUUUAAAAUUUUAUAAAUAUUGAUUCAAAUACAUCCACCAUAUAACUCAAUUCCAAAAUAAAACUCUUUCUUUAAUUUCUUUACCCGUCCCGUGAUUAGUUUUUAAAGUA
rnacentral:sRNA from 1 species